GACGAACGCUGGCGGCGUGCCUAAUACAUGCAAGUCGAGCGAAGUUUUUCUGGUGCUUGCACUAGAAAAACUUAGCGGCGAACGGGUGAGUAACACGUAAAGAACCUGCCUCAUAGACUGGGACAACCAUUGGAAACGAUAGCUAAUACCGGAUAACAGUAUUUCUCGCAUGAGAGAUAUUUAAAAGUUGGUUAUGCUAACACUAUGAGAUGGCUUUGCGGUGGAUUAGCUAGUUGGUGGGGUAAAGGCCCACCAAGGCGACGAUGCAUGGCCGACCUGAGAGGGUGAUCGGCCACACUGGAACUGAGACACGGCCCAGACUCCUACGGGAGGCAGCAGUAGGGAAUCUUCCGCAAUGGGCGAAAGCCUGACGGAGCAACGCCGCGUGAGUGAAGAAGGAUUUCGGUUCGUAAAGCUCUGUUGUUAGGGAAGAAUGGAUAUGUAGUAACUAUACAUGUAAGAGACGGUACCUAAACAGAAAGCCACGGCUAACUACGUG
rnacentral:rRNA from 1 species